rnacentral:rRNA from 1 species
UACGUAGGGGGCGAGCGUUGUCCGGAAUUACUGGGCGUAAAGGGUGCGUAGGCGGUCGCAUAAGUUGGAUGUGAAAUACCCGGGCUUAACUUGGGGGGUGCAUUCAAAACUGUGAGACUAGAGUACAGGAGAGGGAAGCGGAAUUCCUAGUGUAGCGGUGAAAUGCGUAGAUAUUAGGAGGAACACCGGUGGCGAAGGCGGCUUUCUGGACUGACACUGACGCUGAGGCACGAAAGCGUGGGGAGCAAACAGG